AGGAGGAUUGCAUUGAUGUUGAUACUGAUAGGGGUAAAUUGAUAUAGGUAAUUACGGUCUUCCCAUGCAUGUUGUAGCUUAUUUUCAAGUAAAAUCGAGUCAUUUUAGUGAUAAAUUGUCUUCUAUUUUGUUUGUAGGUAUGGUUACUUUUUUUGUGUUUUUUUUAUAGAAAUUUUGAUGUUAACUUAGUGCUCAAUUGAUAAAUGGUACUUAAGG
rnacentral:lncRNA from 1 species